rnacentral:lncRNA from 1 species
CAGGCAGCGCAGCCCGGGAUAGCACACCUAAAGUAGUGACGCCCGGAAUAACACCCCUACCGGCCCCCGGCCGCGGGCAAUGUAGCCCCGGAUAGCGCACCUACCCAAUCGCCUUUCUACGCUCUGGCCGGCUGCAGUGUCCGCUGCUGCCACCCACAGCAGCGAGGCGAGCCAGCGAGGCCAGCCGCAGUCCCACAGACUCUAGCCUCCAGCCUGUGGUAGGUGCCUCCUCUUUCCCUUCCUGUAUCCAGGCAAGGAGCAGCUCUCGCUGCCAGCCGCCUGUCUCCAUCACCGCCACACACUAUGCAGAGGCAAGCCCUGGUGCCACAGGAUCCAGCCUCCAGCCCCAGCGUGUGGCGGGGGACUCCGCUUUCGCCUUCUUUAAGGUGCGAACGGAGGGGUUGGGAACGCUGAGGCACAACAGCCUGCAAUGGCGCAACUCCCCCUUAGCAUGCUUUAUAUACUGAGGUUAUGCAAGCCAGGUUCCUGGACUUCAUGUUCUGAUUGGAUGAGAGAAAACCGCUAGGCCUGCUAGUUGGGGGCACUAUCCCAGACUGUAUUGCCGGCAGCAGUGAGUCAAAGAAGAUGGCCAUGGAGACAGCAGCGUGGUCGGAGUGGUAGCAGGCAGCCAUCAGCAAGAGCUGCUCCGUGCCAGGCUGCUGGAGGCUAGAGCCUGUGGCCCAGUGGCUUGCCUCACUGUGGUUGGUGGUGGUGGUGACAGAGACUGCAGCAUGACCAGAGUGAUAGGAUAGGGGCCAUCGGGGCUGCACUUUUCACACUGUGGGGUGGGUUGGGGGCACUAUCUAGGGUGUCACUGCCUGCACUGGGGGUACUGGUUGGUAGCAUUAUAUGGG